rnacentral:lncRNA from 1 species
CUGCCAAUCCUUUUCUGAAGAUGUCGGAUUUUUGACAACGAGUCGAUCUCAUUUCUCCCUGGAAAUGUCGACGUUGCUCAAAAAGUUGAUCUCAUCUUUUUCUGAGGAUGACGAUCAGAGUAGUGCUGAAUGUCGAUCCUUUUCUUUUUUUGAAGGUUUCGAAUUCCUUGGUAAAUGUCGACGCUCGACGCCUGUCCCCCUUCUGGGACUGUCGAACUCAUUUUUCUGCGAAAUGUCGAUCCUGCCCUUCCCUUUUGAAGGUUUCGAAUUCCUUGCCAAAUGUCGACGUUUAUCUCCCUUUUCUGGGAAUGUCGAACUCGAUUUUCUGCGG